UCUCAAAAUUUGCACUAUGUUUUAAUUUUGAAUUGCUUCCUAAUGUGGCAAGCUUAUAUUUCUAGAAUUUCAGUGUUUCUUUGAGCUUGACUGUUGGUAUUAAUUGCUUUUACUAUUAUGUUUGUGUCACUAGCCAGAGUAAAACUGUCAUUUAUGCUUCAAGCUUUGUGCCAUUAGCCUGAAGUUAAAUUCAAAAGUUCAAAAGAACAAAACGUUAGUUGAGAACAAGAUUUAUAACAUUACAGGUUCUAUUCUGGGAACGAUGCAUGCCAGCUCAUGACAUAAUACAUGGUAUUUGUGUAUGAACAUGUGGAGGCUUACUGUUGGUAUACCCAAUUUGUGUCCUGCCAUUGUUUCUCUUUUAAUAGGAAUACCCAAUUUGAUUGCAAGUGUGUAACUGUCUACUUUUCUUCCUUCGGCUCUAGCUCUGAAUGUAAUCCAUAUGAGGUUAAUAUGGAACACUGGAAGAAGCGAGAUCUGACUUUUAUUCGUCAACGUUAGGCGGUAGCCAUGGGAGCUUUCACAGGGAUCGAACUGGAAUUGAGUUCAAGGCUUACACUCUGGCAUGCUCAGACUCUGGAGGAAAUGAUGAUAUUUUAUGACCUAAGCAAUGGAGUGUUAUGCAAGUUAAAACGAACGAUGCAGUUUAAUGAGGAUAUGAAUGCCAUACUCGUUUGGAGAAGUUCAAGUAAUGUGGUGAUAAAGCUGCAUUUGAUACUUUUUAGACUUUGAUUAUGUUCUUCAUACUACUCAUGCAUGAAAUAUCCAUUUUGGAAUUUCUAUCAGAAAAGACUGUAUUUACCUUCUGCUGGUUGUUUACUGCUAAUGUUAUUGCAUAAGUUGUGGUAUUCUUCUGUAGUAAUUGGGAUCUGCCACCUAGGUCAUGGUCGGUUCAAAUGGGGCCUUUCUCUAGUGUUUUAGGAAUGGAUAGUGUUGCUGAAGUGAUUCUAAGAGUUGUUCUGGAAAUUGUAUAGUGAUGUACACAGCAGACGUGAAGGUGAUGAAUGUUAAUGCUGUUCAGGUGGAAGCAAUGAGGCUUUGGAAAGGAGUAAUGUGAGCUUGGCGACAUAGCUCUGACUAUCAAGUUUUUCCUCAAAAUGACCCUAGACAAAGUUUCAUUCUGUGGUUAAUGCAGGCUCUCCACUCUUGAUUGUCUUGCUUAGUUUGCUCCUAAUGCCAGUCCUAUUUGUGUUCUUUGUAACUCUUCCUCUUAAGUCCCAUCCUCACCCUUUUAUUCAGUGUCCUUACUCCUCUGCUAAUUUGGUCUUCUUUUAGGCCUCUGUGAUAUUCCUUGGCAAACUUUGCCUUGCCUUCUUUGA